GAUGAACGCUGGCGGCGUGCCUAAUACAUGCAAGUCGAGCGAACAGACGAGGAGCUUGCUCCUAUGACGUUAGCGGCGGACGGGUGAGUAACACGUGGAUAACCUACCUAUAAGACUGGGAUAACUUCGGGAAACCGGAGCUAAUACCGGAUAAUAUAUUUAACCGCAUGGUUCAAUAGUGAAAGACGGUUUUGCUGUCACUUAUAGAUGGAUCCGCGCCGCAUUAGCUAGUUGGUAAGGUAACGGCUUACCAAGGCAACGAUGCGUAGCCGACCUGAGAGGGUGAUCGGCCACACUGGAACUGAGACACGGUCCAGACUCCUACGGGAGGCAGCAGUAGGGAAUCUUCCGCAAUGGGCGAAAGCCUGACGGAGCAACGCCGCGUGAGUGAUGAAGGUCUUCGGAUCGUAAAACUCUGUUAUUAGGGAAGAACAAAUGUGUAAGUAACUAUGCACGUCUUGACGGUACCUAAUCAGAAAGCCACGGCUAACUUCGGG
rnacentral:rRNA from 1 species